UGAGGAAUAUUGCGCAAUGGCCGAAAGGCUGACGCAGCGACGCCGCGUGGGGGAUGACGGCCUUCGGGUUGUAAACCCUUGUCAGUGGGGAAGAAAAAAAUGACUGUACCCACAGAGGAAGCCCCGGCUAACCACGUGCCAGCAGCCGCGGUAAGACGUAGGGGGCGAGCGUUGUUCGGAAUUACUGGGCGUAAAGAGCUCGUAGGCUGGAAAUUAAGUCUUUGAACAAAUCUCCCGGCUCAACCGGGAACCGUUCAGGGAUACUGAGGUUCUUGAGAACAGGAGAGGGGAAUGGAAUUCCUAGUGUAGCGGUGAAAUGCGUAGAUAUGAGGAGGAACACCAGUGGCGAAGGCGGUGCUCUGGCCUGUUUCUGACGCUGAGGAGCGAAAGCUGGGGGAGCGAACGG
rnacentral:rRNA from 1 species